GGGCAGGUGCAUCGAAUCGUCAGACCGAGGGAAGGCACAGAUGCCAUCACAUGUCACGAUCUGGGAGACCCUCGUUGGGCGUGCUCUCAUCCCGAUCGUCGAGGGACACUAUAUAUAUAGGGUCACCUGCAUCCAAAACUCCACUUUUUGUAGCCCUAUUGUCGAGACUCUGGUUGAGUGGUCCCCUUUGUCUCAGGUAGUUAUCCCCGCCUUCCUCCUUGGAAAGUUUUCUCGAAGCCUUUGUCUUUGUCUUCUCGUUUCCUUUUUGCUUCCUUGAAAUUUUCUUUCUUAUCCUUCUUCUUCGGGACCAGCAUCAUGGUUAGAACCUCUCUUCGAAGAAGUCCAUCGAGGAAUCCGACCGACGAUUCUCGGUCGACCCCGAAGGUGGAGGUUUCUUCACUUUCGAGGUCGAACAUCGAUCGGCUCUGGGAGCAGUACAGCAUCCCGGAGUAGUUUCGGCUGUUCGCCCCUGGGACUGACGGUCGGAUUAACAACCCGCCCCC
rnacentral:lncRNA from 1 species